rnacentral:ncRNA from 2 species
ACCACAGGGAUAACUGGCUUGU